rnacentral:rRNA from 1 species
GGGUUGUGAGGUUAAGCGACUAAGCGUACACGGUGGAUGCCCUGGCAGUCAGAGGCGAUGAAGGGCGUACUAAUCUGCGAUAAGCGCCGGUAAGGUGAUAUGAACCGUUAUAACCGGCGAUACCCGAAUGGGGAAACCCAGUGUGAUUCGUCACACUAUCAUUAACUGAAUCCAUAGGUUAAUGAGGCGAACCGGGGGAACUGAAACAUCUAAGUACCCCGAGGAAAAGAAAUCAACCGAGAUUCCCCCAGUAGCGGCGAGCGAACGGGGAGGAGCCCAGAGCCUGAAUCAGCAUGUGUGUUAGUGGAAGCGUCUGGAAAGGCGCGCGAUACAGGGUGACAGCCCCGUACACAAAAGCGCAUGUGCUGUGAGCUCGAUGAGUAGGGCGGGACACGUGGUAUCCUGUCUGAAUAUGGGGGGACCAUCCUCCAAGGCUAAAUACUCCUGACUGACCGAUAGUGAACCAGUACCGUGAGGGAAAGGCGAAAAGAACCCCGGCGAGGGGAGUGAAAAGAACCUGAAACCGUGUACGUACAAGCAGUGGGAGCACAGGUUUACCUGUGUGACUGCGUACCUUUGUAUAAUGGGUCAGCGACUUAUAUUCUGUAGCAAGGUUAACCGAAUAGGGGAGCCGGAGGGAAACCGAGUCUUAAUUGGGCGUUAAGUUGCAGGGUAUAGACCCGAAACCCGGUGAUCUAGCCAUGGGCAGGUUGAAGGUUGGGUAACACUAACUGGAGGACCGAACCGACUAAUGUUGAAAAAUUAGCGGAUGACCUGUGGCUGGGGGUGAAAGGCCAAUCAAACCGGGAGAUAGCUGGUUCUCCCCGAAAGCUAUUUAGGUAGCGCCUCGUGAAUUCAUCUCCGGGGUAGAGCACUGUUUCGGCUAGGGGGCCAUCCCGGCUUACCAACCCGAUGCAAACUGCGAAUACCGGAGAAUGUUAUCACGGGAGACACACGGCGGGUGCUAACGUCCGUCGUGAAGAGGGAAACAACCCAGACCGCCAGCUAAGGUCCCAAAGUCAUGGUUAAGUGGGAAACGAUGUGGGAAGGCCCAGACAGCCAGGAUGUUGGCUUAGAAGCAGCCAUCAUUUAAAGAAAGCGUAAUAGCUCACUGGUCGAGUCGGCCUGCGCGGAAGAUGUAACGGGGCUAAACCAUGCACCGAAGCUGCGGCAGCGACACUGUGUGUUGUUGGGUAGGGGAGCGUUCUGUAAGCCUGCGAAGGUGGCCUGUGAGGGUUGCUGGAGGUAUCAGAAGUGCGAAUGCUGACAUAAGUAACGAUAAAGCGGGUGAAAAGCCCGCUCGCCGGAAGACCAAGGGUUCCUGUCCAACGUUAAUCGGGGCAGGGUGAGUCGACCCCUAAGGCGAGGCCGAAAGGCGUAGUCGAUGGGAAACGGGUUAAUAUUCCCGUACUUGGUGUUACUGCGAAGGGGGGACGGAGAAGGCUAUGUUGGCCGGGCGACGGUUGUCCCGGUUUAAGCGUGUAGGUGUGUGUUCCAGGUAAAUCCGGUUCACUUUAACACUGAGGCGUGACGACGAGGCACUACGGUGCUGAAGCAACAAAUGCCCUGCUUCCAGGAAAAGCCUCUAAGCAUCAGGUAACAUCAAAUCGUACCCCAAACCGACACAGGUGGUCAGGUAGAGAAUACCAAGGCGCUUGAGAGAACUCGGGUGAAGGAACUAGGCAAAAUGGUGCCGUAACUUCGGGAGAAGGCACGCUGACACGUAGGUGAAGUGAUUUACUCAUGGAGCUGAAGUCAGUCGAAGAUACCAGCUGGCUGCAACUGUUUAUUAAAAACACAGCACUGUGCAAACACGAAAGUGGACGUAUACGGUGUGACGCCUGCCCGGUGCCGGAAGGUUAAUUGAUGGGGUCAGCGCAAGCGAAGCUCCUGAUCGAAGCCCCGGUAAACGGCGGCCGUAACUAUAACGGUCCUAAGGUAGCGAAAUUCCUUGUCGGGUAAGUUCCGACCUGCACGAAUGGCGUAAUGAUGGCGGGCUGUCUCCACCCGAGACUCAGUGAAAUUGAACUCGCUGUGAAGAUGCAGUGUACCCGCGGCAAGACGGAAAGACCCCGUGAACCUUUACUAUAGCUUGACACUGAACAUUGAGCCUUGAUGUGUAGGAUAGGUGGGAGGCUUUGAAGUGUGGACGCCAGUCUGCAUGGAGCCGACCUUGAAAUACCACCCUUUAAUGUUUGAUGUUCUAACGUGGACCCGUUACCCGGGUUGCGGACAGUGUCUGGUGGGUAGUUUGACUGGGGCGGUCUCCUCCUAAAGAGUAACGGAGGAGCACGAAGGUUGGCUAAUCUGGUCGGACAUCAGGAGGUUAGUGCAAUGGCAUAAGCCAGCUUGACUGCGAGCGUGACGGCGCGAGCAGGUGCGAAAGCAGGUCAUAGUGAUCCGGUGGUUCUGAAUGGAAGGGCCAUCGCUCAACGGAUAAAAGGUACUCCGGGGAUAACAGGCUGAUACCGCCCAAGAGUUCAUAUCGACGGCGGUGUUUGGCACCUCGAUGUCGGCUCAUCACAUCCUGGGGCUGAAGUAGGUCCCAAGGGUAUGGCUGUUCGCCAUUUAAAGUGGUACGCGAGCUGGGUUUAGAACGUCGUGAGACAGUUCGGUCCCUAUCUGCCGUGGGCGCUGGAGAACUGAGGGGGGCUGCUCCUAGUACGAGAGGACCGGAGUGGACGCAUCACUGGUGUUCGGGUUGUCAUGCCAAUGGCACUGCCCGGUAGCUAAAUGCGGAAGAGAUAAGUGCUGAAAGCAUCUAAGCACGAAACUUGCCCCGAGAUGAGUUCUCCCUGAGACUUAAAGUCUCCUGAAGGAACGUUGAAGACGACGACGUUGAUAGGCCGGGUGUGUAAGCGCAGCGAUGCGUUGAGCUAACCGGUACUAAUGAACCGUGAGGCUUAACCUUACAACGCCGAAG